rnacentral:rRNA from 1 species
UGAGGAAUAUUGGUCAAUGGGCGGAAGCCUGAACCAGCCAAGCCGCGUGAGGGAUGAAGGCCCUAUGGGUCGUAAACCUCUUUUGUCAGGGAACAAAAGCGAGUAUGUAUACUAGUCUGAGUGUACCUGAAGAAAAAGCAUCGGCUAACUCCGUGCCAGCAGCCGCGGUAAUACGGAGGAUGCGAGCGUUAUCCGGAUUUAUUGGGUUUAAAGGGUGCGUAGGCGGCGGUGCAAGUCAGCGGUAAAAGCCCGGGGCUCAACCCCGGCGAGCCGUUGAAACUGCAGUGCUAGAGAAGGCGAGAGGUACGCGGAAUGCGCAGUGUAGCGGUGAAAUGCUUAGAUAUUGCGCAGAACUCCGAUUGCGAAGGCAGCGUACCGGCGCCUGACUGACGCUGAGGCACGAAAGCGUGGGUAUCGAACAGGAUUAGAUACCC